AUCCUUUCUCGGUUCAUGAGCGUGAUGAUUGGGUUUUCCACGCUUUUGUGUGACAUGUGCCUCCCUGUAAAUCUUGUUACGACGUCGGCACAUUACCCUUCUGACG